AAAAAGCUCGUAGUUGGAUUUCUACCGAAGACAGCCGGUCCACACUACGUGUGCGCAUCUGGUGUGGCUUUGGUACCCUCAUGGAGAACAGUUCUGCGCUUCAUUGCGUGGACUGGUAUUCAUGACUUUUACUUUGAGGAAAUUAGAGUGUUCACGGCAGGCGUUUGCCUCGAAUACAUUAGCAUGGAAUAAUAAUAUAGGACUUUGGCCCUAUUUUGUUGGUUUCUAGAGCUGAAGUAAUGAUUAAUAGGGACACUUGGGGCAUUCGUAUUAUCACGUCAGAGGUGGAAUUCUUGGAUUGUGUUACGACGAACUACUGCGAAAGCAUUUGCCAAGGAUGUUUUCAUUGAUCAAGAACGAAAGUAAGGGGAUCGAAGACGCUUAGAUACCGUCGUAGUCUUUACCAUAAACUAUGCCAACUAGGGAUUGGAGGGCGUUCUCCACUCGACUCCUUCAGCACCUUAUGAGAAAUCAAAGUCUUUGGGUUCCGGGGGGAGUAUGGUCGCAAGGCUGGAACUUAAAGGAAUUGACGGAAGGGCUCCACCAGGAGUGGAGCCUGCGGCUUAAUUUGACUCAACACGGGAAAACUCACCAGGUCCAGACAUAGUAAGGAUUGACAGAUUGAUAGCU
rnacentral:rRNA from 1 species